rnacentral:rRNA from 1 species
GGCCGCAGUAUCCUAACUGUGCAAAGGUAGCAUAAUCAUUAGUCUUUUAAUUGAAGGCUGGAAUGAAUGGUUGGACGAGGAAUAUACUGUUUCAUUUAAAUUUAUUAUAGAAUUUUAUUUUUUAGUUAAAAAGCUAAAAUAUUAUUAAAAGACGAGAAGACCCUAUAAAUCUUUAUAUUUAUUUAUUUUUAAAUUUUUUUGAUUUAUUUUGUUUUUAAAUAAAUAAAUAUUUUGUUGGGGUGAUGUUAAAAUUUAAUAAACUUUUAAUUAAAAAAAUCAUUUAUUUAUGAUUUGUUGAUCUUUUAAUAAUGAUUAUAAGAUUAAGUUACUUUAGGGAUAACAGCG